GAGGACUGUGGAUGAAGUUGGUUUCUUGCAAUAAAUCAUGGGACUUUGGAAGUACAUGUUAGCAUAUUGGUGUGUUUGGAGGACUGUGGAUGAAGUUGGUUUCUUGCAAUAAAUCAUGGGACUUAGUAAGAACAGAUUCGAGGUUGCAACACUAGAGGCUGCCCAAAGGAAAUGUGUGCUAAUUAACGCUAUUAGUUGGUAAUCGCGUCCGGCCAGAAGCUCGAGGUUAAUUGCCCGUUGAAAUUGAAGAGACAAUUUCAUAUUCCGCUCGCAAAGAAUCGACCGGAAGUAGGACUCAGCGUCGUCGUAGUUGCGAAUUUCGUUGGAAAGUUUGGCUACUUAAAAUCCGAUUUACUAGCGAAGAACGAAUUUCUUACGGUCUCCUUACCUCCCAGCUAUUCCCUCUCUCCCCCUACCCUUCCCAUCUUUCUUUCCAUUCCUGUCCCGAGUCUUCAUUUUUCCUUUCUAACAAGGCAAGUUUUUAGCACAGACUUCAGAAAUAACUGCUAAUAACUGUUAGGCGAAAGU